rnacentral:rRNA from 1 species
UACAGAGGUCUCAAGCGUUGUUCGGAAUCACUGGGCUUAAAGGGCGCGUAGGCGGGUUUUCAAGUCUGUGGUGAAAUCCUCCAGCUUAACUGGAGAAGUGCCGUGGAUACUGGGGGACCUCGAGGUGGGUAGGGGGCAGUCUGGAACAGCCGGGUGGAGCGGUGAAAUGCGUUGAUAUCGGCUGGAACUCCGAUGGCGAAGGCAAGGUGCUGGACCCUCUCUGACGCUGAGGCGCGAAAGCCAGGGGAGCGAACGGGG